AAACAUCUUACCGUUUAGGCUAUAUGCAGCUUGGAGGACAUGCAUUUAUGGAACGCCAAACCCUAUACUGGGCUCUGAGGACACAGAAGUGGAAAUCCUCCUGCUGUAUUUCCAUUGUGAGAGUGCAACCCUGUG